GUCGGUGCUGAUUAGGACGAGGGUCCACCCGUUCCCAUUUCGAACACGGUAGUUAAGCUCGUUUCUGCUGAAGAUACUUGACUGGAGACGGUCCGGGAAAAUAAGUGGCGCCGACA
rnacentral:rRNA from 1 species